GAUGAACGCUGGCGGCGUGCUUAACACAUGCAAGUCGAACGGAGUGCUCAUGACGGAGUUUUCGGACAACUGAUUGAGUUACUUAGUGGCGGACGGGUGAGUAACGCGUGAGGAACCUGCCUCGGAGUGGGGAAUAACAACCCGAAAGGGUUGCUAAUACCGCAUAACAUCUUUAGACGGCAUCGUUUAGAGAUCAAAGAUUUAUCGCUUGGAGACGGUCUUAUAUUCUAUCAGCUAGUUGGUGGGGUAACGGCCUACCAAGGCUACGACGGAUAGCCGGCCUGAAAGGGCGACCGGCCACAAGGGCACUGAGACACGGGCCCU
rnacentral:rRNA from 1 species